AUUCCCGUAUAGGGUGGGGGCUCUCUGAGAGUUCUGGGGAGCCGUUCCGUCCCCGUUUUGGGAGGGCAAGCCAGACAGCUGCUGUUGUUAGCAGGGAAGGUGAGAGAGCCGUAGAGCUGCACCUUGUGACUGUGUUUGUGCGCUCCAGGGCGUGCUGAUGCCCAAGAGCCAUCUCUUGUCUGCAUAGCAAAGGAAGGACAAGGCCCCACGUUCUUCGGGAGGGGUGUGUGUCAGGCUAAUCCUGUCCCCUCUGGCUUCAAGCCACACACUCGAUUGGAAAUGCGGGGCUGAAUCGUGCUGCGGCACCUGCGGCCUGAGAGGUACCGAAGAACAGGGCUGGUGGGCCCAAAGGCCGUGAUUGGCAAGUGGCCUUUCCGUUUCAGACAGAAGUGUGCUUUCUAAGGCAUAUCCGUACCUUUAACUUCUGUCUGCAGAGAUGUGUCUGUGGGUUACUUAUCGCUGUUGGGGUAUAACCCUCGAUGCCCGGCUAAAGAGCAGAAAGUUGUUUGCUCUCCCUCCCCGGCCGACACCGCGGACAGUACCGGCAAGGUGAAAGUGCGAGGAGUCACGGGAGAGGCUGAAGGCAGUUUCCUAGGCAAAGCCAAGGCCGCAAGAAGGAGCAAAGCAAAAUGCGGGGUUCAAUUCCAGCUUCCCGUUGGCAGGCAGAUAGCUGUUCAGGCGCUUCCAGGAAAACGGGGCCCAUCACGUGUGGCAGUUUGCUGGCAAGACAAACGGCAUCGCUCGCAAGAUGCCCUCAUGCCUCCUUCCCAGUUUGGCUUUUACUGUGGAGCAUGUCGGUAAGCGGUGCGGAAUGCUCCUUUGCUUCAGUUUGGGCCAUGGGCCCAGGCUGUGUUCCCCCACAGCCUCCCCCGACUUUUUGUGCAACUCCAUCCUUCUUGUUUAGCUGUUAUUUGAUGUUGAUUGAUUGCCUUCCUGUUUUGUUGUUCUUCUUUGGAGAAAGAGGAUACCUCCUCUUGGCUUCUUUUUAAUUCAUUUUUUGUGGCAUUUUUACUAUUUCUUUUCAGCGAUCUUCACAAUAGCCUUUUUCUUCUGAGGUGCUCCCAAUACCCGGAUAGGAGUUCUCCCGAUUCUGUGGUAUUCUGUAUUAUACCUUACCAGUUUGAUAUUUACCCUUUUAAUCCUCCUUGGAUUUUGGUACUGUCUCCAAAUAAUUCUCACUAUUUCUGGAAUUAUUUUGUGCUCUCCCAUCUCUUCCUAUCCUCCAUAAACCUUUACCCUAACUAACUAACACCUGCUCAUUAAAUUUCUUCCUUUAUGAUAUUCAAGCCCAGAAAUGGGAGUGUUAUUACUUUCCUUAACAGCAGCCAUUGUUACAUAUGGAAAUGUUAGGUUGUUCCAGAAGCAGGGAGAAUCACUCUGUUAGCAGUAACAAAUAAAAACGUAUAACACAAAACAUAGUACUAUGGCAACAAAAAUACAAAAUGUAACAUCACACAGCAUCCUCUUGUCACAGACACCACCCUGUGUACACUGAAAUAAAGCAAAUUAGUAACCAGCUCAUCUUUUCCUUAUGAGUUUAACUUCUGACAGUGUGCAUUCCUUGACAGACCAACUAGUUCCUCAGCGUCUUGGAAUAACCUCCCAUAACAAUACUUCAGUUACUCCACAUGCCUUAUUGGUUUACAAAUGAAUGCCUCUGGCCACUGUAAAGACAUAUCAGUACCAACAUACAGCAACACCUUCCUCCCCUUUUUUGGGGAGUUCUGAGAAAUCAAUUUGCCAUUGUUGCUUUCCCUUCUAAAUUAUUAAUUAGAUUCCUAUCUUCUCUAGAAUAUUUUACAGGUUCUGAGUUUUUUAUUUACAGGUUCUUCAGGUUUAGAGAUUUUAAGUUUACUGUCUGGAAUUAAAGCCUUCUUCAACUACCUGUUCUGACACCUGAUUCAUCAUGUUAUUUCUAAUUUCCUGUACAGUGUUACCCUCCUGAUGUCCUGUUACAAUGUAUAACAGCCAUAGUCUUUGGUAGAUUUGCAUCAUGCUGUUUUCCUUGUGUAUACAAUCCUUGCUCUUUUCAUAUGGAAUUGUGAUGUGUAGCAUCCCAAAUAUAUAAUAAGCAUCUGUCCAUACAAUUAA